ACUUUUAUUCUGACGGGGUAACGACGCUCCCCUUUUCCUUCCGGUGGGUAGCGUAUAUCAUUCCGGUGGUAACUAGCUAGCAAAGAGGCUAUGUUUCUGAUGCUGCAGUGUGUAGCGUGGGGUACACCGCUCUCUCUCUGUGGUUGAGCCAUUGUACAGGAAAGGUAGGCGUCCUUCUCGGUUGGUUUAUUGCUCUUUUUGGUGCAUUGUAAUGUACUUAGAUGUUGGUUACUGACACCAUUUAACUUAAUUGUAGCCCUGUCCAUCGGCGGCUGGCGUGGGGUCGGCUGCUGUUCUGGGAUGGUUUGCUGAGCUGGGCAAACUCAAGUGUCGCUGGUGAUGUUCUUCCACUUUGUGUCCUGUGUGGUUGCCUGCUUGCAUGCCGCUUCGAGAGAACCAGAGGUAAUGCCGGCAUUUUCUGUAAGAGUUUCGACGCUUAGCACUUGACUUGUGUAGGGAGUUGUGUGGGGUGGGAGUGGGGGUGCUCCGCAGGUGUGAUGGCGGGACUGGCAGCGUGGUGCCUUUGAUAUCGCGCUGUGGUGUCGUGGUUGCACCUGUGGGAGCGCCCACAUUUCCACAAUACACAACUCCUGUUGAAUCGAGUUAUAAAUGCCGUGCCUAAUGGUAACUUUCUCGUUAAAUGUACAUAGGAGGAGAUGGUGCCUUCGACUACACUGAUGCAGUGUCACUAGAGAAGGGGGGGCAUCACUGUUCUUUUCCCAACCUUUUGUUUUGUUUUGUCCUAUUGUGUGAGUGAUUAAUCCUGUGCAACCUUUUCAUUUUGACGUCCAAGACGAAGGGGCUUGUGUAAGUUUCACUCUAACAUCCGAGACGAAGGGGCUCGUGUAAGUUUCUACUUAGUAACCGCCAAGACGGAGCUUGUGUAUAUGAUUAGGGUAUGAACACUUAAGUAUUACUGGGAGACGUAUCUUAAAUCUCAGACUCCUUUUGGAACCUAUACUUGCUGUAGGGGGAGACCAAAGACGUGUGUCUAACAGGCUUGUGUGUGUGUGUGUGGUGGCCAUUACAAAUCUUGCCCUUUUGGCAGUUUUUCUUUUUUACAAUUUGAUUUACUAACUUGUUUGCCGUGAUUUUUGUUAUUUGGUCUACCUCUCGUGCAACUAGCACAUUUGCACAAUUUUGUAGCCUAUAUUGAGAUGACGUGCCUAAGGAUACUGUUAAAGUUCAUAUUCUGAUUUGAUGUUUGACUGAGCCCGUGAGGCAUAUUUCCAGAUACAGAGACUCAUUACGAAAAGAAAGAAAAUAAAAAGAACUCUGAAUUGUAUGACAGUUGUAUCUCUUGUUAUUCAGUAACCUGUUGCGGGGAAAGUCAAAUCAAGUGUUUGAUGGUUGGGUUCUCUCACCCUAACAAAUGAGAGUGGCGUAGUCACUAAACAUCUUAAAAACAUCUAAAAAUAUAAAAAAUAUUACGGUAAAGAGAUAACGCAGGCCACAUUUGGCAGUAGUCGGCAAAGGAUAACUAAGUGGAUACAGCUGUCUACAAUUGUUAGUGGUGGGUUUUGUAUGCAUUUGGUUUUGUUUUGUUUUGUUGGGAAAAGAACAGUGAUUACCCCCAGCCAGCGGAGAGCCCCACCGACGAGAUCACCGGCAGGGGUGCUGGCAUAGCCGACGGCCAAGCUGCGAGAGAAGCAUGGAAGGACUGUCUGAGUUGAGGGAGAUGGCAGCGCAUCAGCAAGGGCAGCUGUAUGUGCUGUCAAGGUGGCUGGGCAUUUCCCAGCAACCUCAACCUCAACCGGAGUCGCAGGAGGCUAGCUUCACGUGGGAGAGCCAGCAUCUGGGGCACCCGGUGAGAGACCGUGAUGGGCAACGGGCCUCUGUGGGUGCGCAGCGGCAGCCUUCGCCGACAGCCCACUCAGGGGGCAAUGGGCAGGCCUCCAAACGCAGACUGUCAUUUAGUGGACCGGAGAGUAACCGUCCAAGAAGAACGUCCAUGUCGCAUGAGGCUAGCUUCACGUGGGGGAGCCAGCAUCUGGGGCACCCAGUGAGAGACCGUGAUGGGCAACGGGCCUCUGUGGGUGCGCAGUGGCAACCCUCGCCGACAGCCCACUCAGGGGGCAAUGGGCAACGGGCCUCUGUGGGUGCGCAGCGGCAGCCUUCGCCGACAGCCCACUCAGGGGGCAAUGGGCAGGCCUCCAACCGCAGACUGUCACGUAGUGGACUGGAGAGUAACCGUCCAAGAAGAACGUCCAUGUCCAUCCAGCCUGGCGUGACUCCAUCCUGGAUCAUAAUGCAGUGUCUGUGUAUGAUUAUGUGCAUGUGUACUUUGUUGAUGGUUAAUGUGCUGGGGGGCCUCUAGUGUGCGUGUGGUUGCGCUCGUUGGAUGCGCGUGCGAUGCGCGUGCUGGUGUGUGUGUGUGUGCGUGCGUGCGUGCUUGUUGGGUGUGUGUGCGUGCGUGCGUGCUUGUUGGGUGUGUGUGUGCGUGCACGCUUGUUGGGUGUGUGCGGAGAUGUGUGCGAGUGCGGAGUGUCACCGGGACGGUGACCUUUUAAAGUGGGGGUGUAUGUAACCGGUGGUUAUCCUGAACUUUUAUUCUGACGGGGUAACGACGCUCCCCUUUUCCUUCCGGUGGGUAGCGUAUAUCAUUCCGGUGGUAACUAGCUAGCAAAGAGGCUAUGUUUCUGAUGCUGCAGUGUGUAGCGUGGGGUACACCGCUCUCUCUCUGUGGUUGAGCCAUUGUACAGGAAAGGUAGGCGUCCUUCUCGGUUGGUUUAUUGCUCUUUUUGGUGCAUUGUAAUGUACUUAGAUGUUGGUUACUGACACCAUUUAACUUAAUUGUAGCCCUGUCCAUCGGCGGCUGGCGUGGGGUCGGCUGCUGUUCUGGGAUGGUUUGCUGAGCUGGGCAAACUCAAGGUAAAAGAUGCGUUCUGUACGCUUCUCUCGUGUGUGCGAACGUAGUCUCUGUUGUGACUGAUGUAGUGUUACUCUAUCACAGUGUCGCUGGUGAUGUUCUUCCACUUUGUGUCCUGUGUGGUUGCCUGCUUGCAUGCCGCUUCGAGAGAACCAGAGGAGGAGAUGGUGCCUUCGACUACACUGAUGCAGUGUCACUAGAGAAGGGGGGCAUCACUGUUCUUUUCCCAACCUUUUGUUUUGUUUUGUCCUAUUGUGUGAGUGAUUAAUCCUGUGCAACCUUUUCAUUUUGACGUCCAAGACGAAGGGGCUUGUGUAAGUUUCACUCUAACAUCCGAGACGAAGGGGCUCGUGUAAGUUUCUACUUAGUAACCGCCAAGACGGAGCUUGUGUAUAUGAUUAGGGUAUGAACACUUAAGUAUUACUGGGAGACGUAUCUUAAAUCUCAGACUCCUUUUGGAACCUAUACUUGCUGUAGGGGGAGACCAAAGACGUGUGUCUAACAGGCUUGUGUGUGUGUGUGGUGACCAUUACAAAUCUUGCCCUUUUGGCAGUUUUUCUUUUUUACAAUUUGAUUUACUAACUUGUUUGCCGUGAUUUUUGUUAUUUGGUCUACCUCUCGUGCAACUAGCACAUUUGCACAAUUUUGUAGCCUAUAUUGAGAUGACGUGCCUAAGGAUACUGUUAAAGUUCAUAUUCUGAUUUGAUGUUUGACUGAGCCCGUGAGGCAUAUUUCCAGAU